rnacentral:pre_miRNA from 1 species
AUCAGCUGGGGACCUUAUUAAAAUGCAGAUUCUGAUUCAGCCAGUCUGGGAGGGGCUGAGGUUCUGCAUUUCUAACAAGCUCCCGAGUGAUAACGA